CAGCAUCACCAAUGCUCAUGCCUGGGAUCAGUCUUUGCUGUGUUGGCAUUUGUCCCAGGGGUGACAGAGCAAACUCUCCACAGGAAUGACUCAGCACGGAGAGAAUGAAUGCAUAGAGACAGAUUGGUAGCUCUGGGAUAGGCAGACUUUUCUAUGGAGAACAUAAUAAAUAGACACAGCUCUAUGAAAGCUCAUGCUACCAACUUCUCUCUUUCAGUUAUUCUUGAAGCUGCUACAAGAUCCCUUUGCAUAGACUAACACAGCUAUAUGUUUGCAUGGGGUUUUUGACAGGACCAAGGCAGGAAGAACUCUGGCGUCCCCAAGGAACGCAGCUGUCUCGGCAGAUAAUCGGUAGCGGAGACACAACCGUAUGAUCUGGCAGACCUGAAACCCUUUUGACGGCUGAGCAUCUCCUGUUCCUUAACACUCUGUCCAGGCAUGUGGCCUGUCAACCAUGAGUGGGAUAUUCAGCGAUAGUUUUGCUACAGGCUGUUGUUGUUGUUAACUGGAUUUGAGUCAACCUCGACUCAUGGGGACCCUGUGAAUGAGACAUCUCCAAGACUUCUGAUUCUCUACCAUUCUGCCCAAGUCCUGCAGAUUCAGGCCAGUGACUUCCUUGAUCAUGUCUGUCUAUAUGAUGUGUGAUCUUUCUCUCUUUCUACUCCCUUCUGC